AUUGUAACCUUAACUUUACCAAACCAAACAACCACUUGAAACUAAGAACAGAAUACUUGCAAAAACCCUUUAUUAAUUUGAAGAACAUAAAAUUUAUUGGUUAAUAUGUAAAAAAAUGAUUAAAAAAAAAGAAAAUUGUCAUGUCCAUUGUUAAUUAUUCUUAUCAUAAAUUUUAAUUAAAAUAAUAAAAUAAUGACUUCUCACCAUUUCAUUGACUAAUAUA
rnacentral:lncRNA from 1 species